ACUCGAGUGGCGAACGGGUGAGUAACACGUGGGUGAUCUGCCCUGCACUUCGGGAUAAGCCUGGGAAACUGGGUCUAAUACCGGAUAGGAGCCAUUUUUAGUGUGAUGGUUGGAAAGUUUUUCGGUGUAGGAUGAGCUCGCGGCCUAUCAGCUUGUUGGUGGGUAAUGGCCUACCAAGGCGGCGACGGGUAGCCGGCCUGAGAGGGUGGACGGCCACAUUGGGACUGAAAUACGGCCCAG
rnacentral:rRNA from 1 species